UGCCCGGAAGCUCUAUGGUCUUCACUGUGGCUAACUGAUAAUAUCUUCUAAUCCAUCCAUCAGACGGCGGAGUAAAAGGCGUCAGUGUUUAGUUUCCUAACAGAAUGAAAGGUCCCGAACUGCUGGAUGUGGUUUUAAAAGCUGAAACGAAGUUACACAGAGCAGGUGGGCCAGCAGUGAGUGUGAAGAGAGACUUUUCUAAACUCUGACAUGGACUCUGAGAACAGUCAGCACACACAGUCCUCUCCCUGUUCCCUCCACCAAGCUUUACCUCCAGACGUUAAGAAAGUGAUUGUUGGUGAAGAGGAGCAGCAGGAGUGUAGCUCCAGUGUGGACCAGCAGGAGCCAGAGCCCCCCCCACACAUUAA